rnacentral:rRNA from 1 species
UACGGAGGGUGCAAGCGUUAUCCGGAUUCACUGGGUUUAAAGGGUGCGUAGGUGGGCAGGUAAGUCAGUGGUGAAAUCUCCGGGCUUAACUCGGAAACUGCCAUUGAUACUAUCUUUCUUGAAUACCGUAGAGGUCAGCGGAAUAUGUCAUGUAGCGGUGAAAUGCUUAGAUAUGACAUAGAACACCAAUGGCGAAGGCAGCUGGCUACACGAAGAUUGACGCUGAGGCACGAAAGCGUGGGGAUCAAACAGG